AGUGAACGCUGGCGGCGUGCCUAAUACAUGCAAGUCGAACGAGUGGCGCACGGGUGAGUAAUGUAUAGCUAAUCUGCCCUACACUAGCGGAAAACCGUUGGAAACGACUGCUAAUCCUCCAUAGUGUCGGUUGAGGCUAUAUUGUAUCAGCUAGUUGGUGUGGUAAUGGCUCACCAAGGCUAUGACGCAUAACUGGUCAGAGAGGAUGAGCAGUCACACUGUAACUGAGACACGGUCCAGACUCGUACGGGAGGCAGCAGAAGGGAAUAUUGCUCAAUGGGGGAAACCCAGAAGCAGCAACGCCGCGUGGAGGAUGUCACUUUUCGGAGCGUAAGCUCCGUUUGUUAGGGAAGCGGUACCUAACGAAUAAGCACCGGCUAACUCCGUGCCAGCAGCCGCGGUAAUUC
rnacentral:rRNA from 1 species